CCUACGGGGGGCUGCAGUGGGGAAUAUUGGACAAUGGGGGCAACCCUGAUCCAGCCAUGCCGCGUGUGUGAAGAAGGCCCUCGGGUUGUAAAGCACUUUCAGUGAGGAAGAACGCCUGGUGGUUAAUACCCAUCAGGAAAGACAUCACUCACAGAAGAAGCACCGGCUAACUCAGUGCCAGCAGCCGCGGUAAUACGGAGGGUGCGAGCGUUAAUCGGAAUUACUGGGCGUAAAGCGCGCGUAGGUGGCUUGAUAAGCCGGUUGUGAAAGCCCCGGGCUCAACCUGGGAACGGCAUCCGGAACUGUCAAGCUAGAGUGCAGGAGAGGAAGGUAGAAUUCCCGGUGUAGCGGUGAAAUGCGUAGAGAUCGGGAGGAAUACCAGUGGCGAAGGUGGCCUUCUGGACUGACACUGACACUGAGGUGCGAAAGCGUGGGUAGCAAACAGGAUUAGAUACCCUAGUAGUC
rnacentral:rRNA from 1 species